GAUGUGCAUCCAUUGGGCGUGGAAACCUAGGCUCUUUUCCCCAAUCCGGCAGCCGCCUCACCACCCCGCCUCCAUCCCUCGCCUCCUCAUCCAGGCUCCAGCCCCGCUAGGAUCCCGCCCGCUCCUCCCGCUUCUUCCUCCAUCCUUCAUCUAGAGUGCCGGCCCGCCGGGGCUCCGCCUCCUCAUCCAUCCCAGCCCGUACUCAGCCUCCUCCGCCCGCCUCUUCCUCCUUUCCAUCAGUGGCAGUGGUGAGGAUAGGAGCAGCGUCUGUGGCUGGACACCAUGAGCUUCCAAGGUGGUCCAUGGUGAGGAACGGAUGUGCUCGACGUCUCCUUCAAUCCGUCUUUUUCGGGGGUACAAUCUGAUUUCUGCAAGGAAGGCGGCUCGGCAUGACCACCGUGCCAUGUCCAUGGUGCCACUGACCCUCCACCUGUCUCUUCUUCCGAAGUGAAGUGCCCAUCUCCCCUCUUCCCAGCCAGUUUUGCCUUGUCAUAGGAGGAAGAUGAGUUGGAGGUGCCUGCCUGCUACCUUGGAGCAAUGGGUGCGCCACCCAAUCAGCCAGUCGACGAUAGAUCCAGGUGGCGUAACAUUUGAGUUGCCCGUCCCAGUCCUUAGUUCACAUAUGCUGGAUGAGUUUAUUUGGCGCAAGGAGACUAGAUGAGUGCAGGGGGGAGAGAUGAGGUAGAUGCGAAAUCCCAACUCUUGCUCGUGCUGCUACGACCGUGGUGUUUCUUAUGUGUAGUUUUUUGUAGAGGUCUGGGCUCUAACAUAUUCUAUAGAUAUGUGAUGUUUCUUAUGUGCAGUUUUUUGCAUGUAUUUUAGUGAGAAAUGAAGUAUGCUUUAGAGAACAGAGAGAUAAAAAUGCCAUAUUCUUUUAUCAAAUAAAGAUCUGGCUCGGUGGCUCCUUAUUUUGCUUGUCGGGACCAAGAUCUCUAGCUAUCAAUGAACUUUCCAGAGUCGUUUUUGCUGGUCUGAAGUAUGGAAAUUUCUUGGUUAACAUCUUUAUAAGCGGCAUAAUCUCUGCAAACAAAACAGAAUAACUAAAACAUAGCUAAGUCCAUUUUUUCUGCAUGAUCUAUUUUGAUCUCAAAUGCAUUUGAAUGACUCGGCAUUUCCAUUCAAUUUCCUUUUGCCAUUUAUCUUCCAUUUAGACAUAUGGGAUAACCAUCAUUUCAUAUUUUUGUCAUGUAUCUUUCAUUUACAUGGAAAUUACUAAGUAAUAACCAAUGGAUGUUUUUUAACAGCUGCAAGACUACCUGCUAAUAAUUACCGAGAAUUAACCAUCAUAUGUAUCUUUCAUUUUAUUAAUACCAAAUUACCAAAACAGUGAGGGCAACAGUUAGACACCAUAAACUGUAUAUGUUACUAUUAAUUGUUCAUCCUUAAUGUUUGAAGUGUUCCACAUGAUUUUUGCUGGUAGAAAGAUUCAAGGAUUUUGGUUUCGUUAGAAAUACAAAAUUUCUUUGUUCAGCCACCCUGCCCAUGGUGGCUUGCUUUACUAAAUUUAUAAUCAAACACUUGAAUAUAUAUUUUCAUCAGUAUGCCCCCUAUCCUAUUUUUGUGGGUACACAUGAAUGUUUGAUCUAGAUUCUAGGUGCAUCCUUUACUACAACAAUCUCAGGCUAUACUGAAAAGUGUACUGCUUAUAUAGCGAAUAUAUUUAAUUCAUACGCUCGUCUGUUGGAUGCUAUGGUCACUGGCUUGACGCUCACUGCUACUGGACGCUCGCUGCUAUUAUUGGUUCAUAAGUUUUGCAGACAUGGUUACUGCAGAUUUUUUUGAGCGAAUGGUUAGUGUAGAGUUAGUUCUUAUGGUUAUUGAAACCAUGCAAAAUGUAGCUUUCCCCUUCCUCUCUGGUCACUUGAAUUUAAAUCUCCUGCAUGUUCAUUUAUGAACUCUGCACCAACACACGUGACCCAUGCAAAAAUUGUUCACUUUUAGAGUCUAGCUCAAAGAAAUUCACUUCUGGAGUGUAACUCAAAAAAUUUCAUGUUGAAGAUUUGUGUUGUUGUUGAAUUAGGGAUUUAAAUUCAAGUUUCCUCGGAUGUCUAUUGCUACUGAAUUACAGGUUUAAAUUCAACUUUCCUCUGAUUAAUUUAUAUCUGUCUUUUGUACUCUACUGAACAUGUGUGUAUAGUUUCAGAAUUCCUUUUACCACUAAUACUUAUGGGUUGUUCUAGAGGCGAUUUUGCAUCACUCCAUUUUAUAGAUGUUCAUGCAUAAGUAGCAUCAUUUUUUUCCUAAUGCUGGCUUUUCAUCUGCUAACUGGUAUGUGCCAUGCGGUAUGUGCCCAACCUAUGUAUCUCAUUAUGUUAUGAUAACGCAGAUGCUCUCCUUUGUAGGCGAAACGACCGGAGAAAGUAAGCAGCUCCUUUUUAGUGGUGUUCGAAGAUGGUAUUAAGCAUAGUUAGGCUCUGCCAUUCGUGAAAGUACAAUUUCUUUGUAGGCUUUUGAUUCACCACUAUUAUGUAUAAGUUUUAGGCUUUGUUUCCUGAAUAAGAUCAAGAAUUUUGCACUGAAAAUUCAUGCCCGCUGUUCAAAACUCAGUCUAUAUUUUGAAAGAAAUACCUUAUUACUUUUUUGCAUCAUAGGGGGUUAUAUAUACUGUCAAGAUUCUGAAGUUGUUCUAUAUUGCUAUCACAUGAGUAUAAAAGCAACAAAAAAUCAAUAUGGUGGUAUCUUGCGGUGGGAUCUACUUGCCAUUUCUGAACAAAUACCAAACACGGCUGUACUUAAUUUCCCCUUUAGGAAAUACAUUGUGUAUGAUGAGAUUAUGAAUACAACUCCUGUCAACAUGAAGAGGUGGCAGAUAGGUAAGUCUACAUGCAUGUGGUUAGAGAAACGCCUCGAAAAAAGAUCAGGGCAUAUCCUAGACUAACAACUAUGCUAGGAUGGUACAUGAGACAGUGGGAUGCACCUGAAUUAUACCAUUUCAGUAAUUACUAUGUAUUUCCACCCUUUUGUUUCUAGCUGAUACAUAAUGUUUGGUACACGAAUCAAUCAUGCUUCUUUGUCCGAAGUUAUCUCUAAAAGACCUGUGUGCACUGCAGCUCGCUCAAUUAUGUUUGUCUAAAUACUUUCCUUUUUUGUACCAAUAUCAUGUUAACUGAAAACUUGUAGUGUUUAUUCCAAUGAUUUUUGGGUGUAAUUUCCACUAAGGUUUAUUAUCAACAGAUCAGAUGUAGGUUGGUUAAUUUGAAAAUAGCUAUAUAUAGUGAAAGGCCUUAAAUGAGCAACCUAUAUUUUAUUAGCCAGUUCUAUCUAAGAAUAUGCUCAUCUGUAAUAGCUGGAAGGGUAAUGUAAAAAAACCAGUGUUUCUAUGGUGCUAACUUUACUACAUGCAUUAUUUAAAAAAAUUACUACAUGCAUUAAUCCAAAUUAUUGUUCAUUAUGCUAAUUAUGCAACUUUGUCUUCCAUUUAUAUUUUCAAUUUGUACUUCUCGUUCCACGUAAUAUAUUGCCUUUUUUAUUUGUGACUGCAUGGUCUGACUGUUGAAUUUCUUAAAGUAUAUUACCUUCUUGUUUUUGGAAUAAUAGAUUGAUGUUUUGUACCUAAGGUCUAACAAGGCCUGUUGGUUGGUCGGUGUACUGAUUUUGAAAGCAAUAUUGAACAACAUCAGAAUAUAUUUUGACACUUUUUUAUGCUUCGAUGUUCCUUUGUCACUGUUCGACUUUCUGCCUUGGCCUCUGUCUUGGUUUACAGCUCCAUAGGCUACCUAUGUAGGUUCUGUUUUGAACUGUACUCAAAUCACAUAGAGCUGUUAAACUUCCAGUUUGUUGCCUUCCUGUCGUGUAACAUCGCCAUGUUUACUCCAGAAACAUGGAAUGUGCAAAGCUUCUGUGUUGAUUAGUGAAAUACUUGCUUUGCCUUAAAGACUGUUCCCAUAUGUGUCCUAGGUUUUUUGGUAUGAAUUUCAUAUUUCCCUGGAAUGAUCAACACAUUUCCAUGGGAUUUUAGAAAAAUAUAUGUGAAUGCAUCUUUCUAAUAAAAAGUGUUGCUUAUCAGGGCUUCUAUGAUCCACUGAUUGUAUGAAUUCUCUUUAAAUAUGUCAACAUACUUCAGUGUAUGUUAGUUUUAGGAUGGCAACUAACAUUUUUUUCACGCUCUUUGUUAACAGUUUCGGUUCUCACAGGGUUUGAGAUGUGUAGAUUCCGUGCCACAGAUCAGUUGCAGGUGGGUAUGUAGCAUCCUUAUCUAUUUCAUAUGUUCGACUCCACUUUCAUUUGCCUAUGGUGUUUAGGCUCAGGGCUUUCCACCGUUUCAUCUAGAAAUGCAUCAUGCUUUGUAUCAAACUCAAGUAUAUAUAUGGUGUUGUUGGGGCUUCUUUGAUCGAAAUGUGAAAGAUUGCAGACGUGAUUUUGUUUAGACCAUUUGUCCGGGUAGUGACAUUUUGGUAUGCAAGACAUGUGUUUAUUUGAUUUUCUUUCUUGCAUACACUAAAGUAACCAUGAUAAUCAGUAGCAGGAAGACAGUCAAAACAUUAUUUUCUUUGUCUUGGUAUUCCUGAUUUAGUUGUCAUUUUGUAUGUUUCAUGGAAAAUAUUCAAUUCCAAGUCAUCUUUCCAUUGCUAUUUUCCCUACCACGCCUACAUAUGGGUAGACAAUCUUAUCCAGAAUGGAAUUUUGGAUUGUGGAUUCUCUGGACUGAAUGGUUUAAGUUUUUUUCUAGAUUGAUGUCAUCCAUAUUUUACUUAUUUAGACAAUGCUAUGACUACGAUACAAUCAACUAUGACUUGGAAUACUUUUCCCAUAUAGUGUUGGGCAAUAUUAUAGGCACCCACCCUCCAAAGCACAGUUGGGUGGUGUUAUUUGAUUAGAUUAACCAUCAACAAUCAUGUUUAUAGACUUCCUGGAGAAACAAACACAUGGACAGCAUCAUCUGGUACAACACAACAAUGACCACACCAACGAGGUGCUUAUUGUUGUCAAGCACGAACUAACUUUUUCCCUUGGUCAGUUAUUGGAAGGACUGAAAUUGUGGGUCAAGAUGCAUUAACCUGAUAAGGAAUCACACUCAACUCUAAUAAGAAGGCCUACGAAGACAAUUUGAUAUAAUAACUUCAUUGUAUUCUGCUCCAAAGCAAAAAACUCUUUAAUGUGGAGCCCAUGUUACAAUGUGUUGUAGUUUACUACCAUUUCUAAAACAGGCCAACCAUUUUAGCAGCCUGCAGCUUGCUUUUAUAUUUUGGAAUUGUUACUCGUUCAUAUAUAUUUAUAUUCAUGCUGCUCGGCCUUCCUGAUACUGGGAGCAAUGUAGUUAUUGGUAGAAGUAUGACCUCAG